rnacentral:misc_RNA from 1 species
AACGCACCUUGCGCUCCCUGGCAUUCCGGGGAGCAUGCCUGUUUGAGAAUCGAUACUACCUCCUCUCCCUCCGCGUGUGUGUUACCCUCUGCACCUCUCGUGGUGCGUGGUGCUGCUGCGCGUGGCGGGGUAGGGACUUGGGCCAAUACCUGUGUAUACAUGUACGCCUUGUGCAUGUGCCGGGGGGGUGCCUGAAAAGUAUUGGUGGGAUUACCAUGCCCACGUCGACUUGUCAUGGCCUAGUGAAGUGAUGCGCACACGACCCACACCACCAUACCCCUUUUGGGGGCGACGGCGGGAAGCAGCAUGCAUGCCCGCGCCCCUGGAACUUGGUCUCAAAUCAGGUAGGAAGACCCGCUGAACUUAA